rnacentral:rRNA from 1 species
UACGGAGGAUCCAAACGUUAUCCGGAUUUAUUGGGUUUAAAGGGUGCGUAGGUGGCUUUUUAAGUCAGGGGUGAAAGACGGUAGCUUAACUAUCGCAGUGCCUUUGAUACUGAAGAGCUUGAAUGAACUAGAGGUAGGCGGAAUGUGACAAGUAGCGGUGAAAUGCAUAGAUAUGUCACAGAACACCAAUUGCGAAGGCAGCUUACUAUGGUUUUAUUGACACUGAGGCACGAAAGCGUGGGGAUCAAACAGG